ensembl:antisense Gm10863 predicted gene 10863
CCGCCUUGGAUGGACAGAGGGACGGAGCAGCAAGCAUCCGGCCUCCCCGGCUUCCCUGCAGCGGUCUCCAACUGCUGUCUGCCCGCUGCCCGCCUGCCUGGCAUCUCUCUCCCGGUGCUAGCUGCAUUCCUGGCCUGGGAGCAGGGAGCCUGUCUGACCCCUGUGUCACACUGGAUGGUUUUACAGAGGUGCCCCACCUGAUGCUGGAUGGAAGUCAUCACCCUACAGUGGUCCUUUUAUGACAGGCCGCAAGGUCACCAUAUGACAAACAGGACACAUCUGCCACAACUGGGAGGUGGGGCUGCUUCCCAAAGGACCCUGUGCCAGGUGAAGAUGAGCCAGGGUCUCUGUACUGGCUGGUUUUGUGUGUCAACUUGACACAGGCUGGAGUUAUCACAGAGAAAGGAGCCUCAGUUGAGGAAAUGCCAUGAGAUC